CGGCCUAGCCUAGUGGUUAGCGCGUUGGACCAGUAACCAGCAGGUAGCCUAGUGGUUAGCCUGUGUUGUUGAUACUGGGGCGGCCUAGCCUAGUGGUUAGCCUGUGUUGUUGAUACUGGGGCGGCCUAGCCUAGUGGUUAGCGCGUUGGACCAGUAACCAGCAGGUAGCCUAGUGGUUAGCUCACUGUGUUGUUGAUACUGGGGCGGCCUAGCCUAGUGGUUAGCCUGUGUUGUUGAUACUGGGGCGGCGUAGCCUAGUGGUUAGCUCACUGUGUUGUUGAUACUGGGGCGGCCUAGCCUAGUGGUUAGCCUGUGUUGUUGAUACUGGGGCGGCGUAGCCUAGUGGUUAGCUCACUGUGUUGUUGAUACUGGGGCGGCCUAGCCUAGUGGUUAGCCUGUGUUGUUGAUACUGGGGCGGCGUAGCCUAGUGGUUAGCUCACUGUGUUGUUGAUACUGGGGCGGCCUAGCCUAGUGGUUAGAGCAGGUAGCCUAGUGGUUAGAGCAGGUAGCCUAGUGGUUAGCGCGUUGGACUAGUAACCAGCAGGUAGCCUAGUGGUUAGAGCGUUGGACCAGUAACCAGCAGGUAGCCUAGUGGUUAGAGCGUUGGACCAGUAACCAGCAGGUAGCCUAGUGGUUAGCGCGUUGGACCAGUAACCAGCAGGUAGCCUAGUGGUUAGAGCGUUGGACCAGUAACCAGCAGGUAGCCUAGUGGUUAGCGCGUUGGACCAGUAACCAGCAGGUAGCCUAGUGGUUAGCGCGUUGGACCAGUAACCAGCAGGUAGCCUAGUGGUUAGCGCGUUGGACCAGUAACCAGCAGGUAGCCUAGUGGUUAGCGCGUUGGACCAGUAACCAGCAGGUAGCCUAGUGGUUAGCGCGUUGGACCAGUAACCAGCAGGUAGCCUAGUGGUUAGCGCGUUGGACCAGUAACCAGCAGGUAGCCUAGUGGUUAGCGCGUUGGACCAGUAACCAGCAGGUAGCCUAGUGGUUAGCGCGUUGGACCAGUAACCAGCAGGUAGCCUAGUGGUUAGCGCGUUGGACCAGUAACCAGCAGGUAGCCUAGUGGUUAGCGCGUUGGACCAGUAACCAGCAGGUAGCCUAGUGGUUAGCGCGUUGGACCAGUAACCGCAAAGGUUUCUAGAUCAAAUCCCCGAGCUGACAAGGUAAAAAUCUGUCGUUAUGCCCCUGAACAAGGCAGUUAACCCAGGCCGUCAUUGAAAAUAAGAAUUUGUUCUUAACCGACUUGCCUAGUUAAAUAAAGGAUAAAUAAAAUAAAAAUUUAGCAUCUUGAUCUUAAUGAUUAAAUUGAAUGAUUUUACGAGGAGCCUUCAUUCGGUCCAGGAAACAAUGUCGUGAAAAGGGCAAAAAGAACAGCAGAUAACAGUCUUUAGAACUGUGUUUGAGGCUUCUACUAGGAAGGGGAGCUGAAUGAGAGGGGAUUGAGCCAGGUGUCCGGCCGAGUGCCACAGGCUCGUGACGCGCGCUCACGAGAGAGUUAACUCUCGUUCCAUUGCUUUUCUACAGACAAUGGAAUUCUCCGGUUGGAACUUUAUUGAAGAUUUAUGAUAAAAACAUCCUAAAGAUUGACUCUAUACUUAGUUUGACAAGUUUCUACGACCUGUAAUAUAACUUUUUUCAACUUUUCGUCCGACGUUCAGCUGGACCUGGACUACAAAAGUAUAGCCUCAAUCUUUGCAGAAAAAGGUUAACGUGGUGCUUGAAUGAUCUGAUUGAUGAAUGUCAAUCUGAAAGGGUGCCAUAUAUCUAAUAAUCUGAGGCUGGUGUUAGACUUGGUUGA